ensembl:lncRNA
UUUUCAUCAAAUUGACAUAUUUCUCUUUUUCUCUCUGUCAGUAAUGUGACGAUCCCUUGCAGACCAUCCUCUGUCAACAUCGUGUCCUCUCUGAUGGAACAAGAUGCACAGAGAGACAGAGAGUGCAGGAUAUCUGCUGGUGUAAUGGACUGCAUGGAUAGGAGAGGCAGGUUGUCACAGCUUCAUAAAACCUUGGAGGAGUGUGAGACAGGAGAGCAUAGGGUGCAGUCACUGGAGAGGUUGAUUUUGAAGACAGGAACUCUCACCAGCUCUUCCUACAAAACAUGCUUACUACUUCUGUAUCACUCCAGUGCUAGUAUGGUGUAUUGUUGUAUUAGAUAGACUUACUGUCAAAGUAAGGUAGUGUUGUCUGUAACAGUUCCAGUCUAAAGAGAAGGAAGAGAGGAGAAGAGAGGAGAAGAGGGAAGACGAUAAGCCAGAGGAGAGAGUGGAAAAAGGCAAAGCGAAAUGUAAGACGAGGAAGUAAAACAAGACCUCACAGUCUGCUCAGCUGGCCUUACAUGUUCUUUGAUGGCCUCCCAGUCUCCUGCAGAUGAAACUCAAGUAUAAGUGAAAGGUUAGAUCAUUUUAAUUACAUUUUUUCAUGCAUAGAAAGAAGCGGCCAAUUCUUGAAGCCAGGGCAGGCCCUUCCAUUAGGCGCUAUAGGCAAAUGCUAGGGGCGCUCGUGUGCAUGUGUUUUUUUUGUUUUUUUUUUUACAAAUGAGCAAUUAAUAAAUAUGAAAACAUGCAAAGUCCACGUAAUCAUAACUUCAUUGUUUAAUAAUAUUAGUCAAAUUAAUAAUUAUUAUAAUAACAACACACAACACCUAUCACCUCUGCACACCUCGUUACUGUUUCUCUGUGAGGAAAAAGACAACGCCACAGAGUGAGUGACAUCUCCCCGUAAAGAUGUCUAAAAGGCAGAAGUCCUCUGGUGCCCAGGGCAGAAAAAGGAGAAAAGAGGAGGAAGAAAGGUGGCGAACAGAGGUAAUAUAAUAUGGUGAAUUAAACAUAUGUAUGUUGUACAGUAAAAGUUCCCUUCAGAAAAAUAGUUACUAGCUAGCAACUGAUGGCAUCAGUUACCCCCUUCCCUAAACUCAUUAAAGAAAAGACCCACCCGCCAUUUGCACUAAAUAAGCAGGUCUUAAUCCUCCUUGAUUAGAGACUCUCUACAAUAAGCAGAAAGUUGUUCUCUGCACUACUUUAUGUAAAAUAGUUUUAAAAUAUUUUUUGUGCAACACCUUUAUAUUUAUUUAUUGUUAUAUGGAUAUAUUUAUAAUUAAUUUACUUUUUAUUUGUUUCUUUAAUACUGAUUUUACUGUUUUACUGUUGUUUUCGUUCUAAAAUGAAAAAAACUCAAAAACAUAAAGCUUUGCAGUGUCUGUGUGAGUGUAUAAACCCGAUGAUUGAUGAUGCAGGGGGCACCAACCAAAAUCUCGCCUAGGGCACCACAUUGGUCAGGGCCGGCUCUGCUUGAAGCCCCUCUCUUAGUCAACUUCAGAAGAAAAAUAACAUGUCUUGUUGUUGAAAGAGAAUAUCAUUAGAUACAGGUAGGAACCCAGAAGGAACAAGAACCAUUCCUUAAUAUCUGCAGUAUUCAGCCUUAUUAAAAUUCUUAUCCAUGAAAAAGGCCAUUAAUGGGGGUGGGUAUGACACUGUCUUUUAUGUAUUUACUUAUUUGGUUAAUCAUCUAUUUACAUACAGAUCUUUACCAGUGCUUUGCAUGUCUCAUCUAGAAAACAAACUGUCCAGCCUAUGACCAGCUGCUGGUAAUCCCUUCCUUGUUGCCGGAACCGUUGAAAAACCUCAGACACAGGUAGAAGGUGCGAUCAUUUUCAUUCAUUGUUUCCAUACAUGGAUAGACGUGGCCCUUUCCUGCAGCUCCUUUGUUGACCACAUUUCAUAACUUUUCAAGGCUUAGGACAGAAUGUAUACAUAUAUUGCUUUCAUUACACCCAUCCCAAGCCUUAAAAGGAAUUUCGACUGUUGGUCUGUUUUGCCUCACAGUACAAAAUCAAGUGAGGUGUCUGAAGGUUGAAUGUUGAUGGGCCACAGUUUUAUAGCUGC